rnacentral:rRNA from 1 species
UACGUAGGGGGCAAGCGUUGUCCGGAUUUAUUGGGCGUAAAGAGCGUGUAGGCGGCCAUUCAGGUCAGCUGUGAAAACUCGAGGCUCAACCUCGAGACGCCGAUGGAAACCAUCAGACUAGAGUCCGGAAGAGGAGAGUGGAAUUCCUGGUGUAGCGGUGAAAUGCGCAGAUAUCAGGAAGAACACCCGUGGCUAAGGCGGCUCUCUAGUACGGUACUGACGCUGAGACGCGAAAGCGUGGGGAGCGAACAGG